rnacentral:rRNA from 1 species
GACGAACGCUGGCGGCGUGCUUAACACAUGCAAGUCGUACGGUAAUGCCCUUUCGGGGGUACACGAGUGGCGAACGGGUGAGUAACACGUGAGUAACCUGCCCACAACUUUGGGAUAACGCUAGGAAACUGGUGCUAAUACUGGAUAUGUGCUCCUGCUGCAUGGUGGGGGUUGGAAAGCUCCGGCGGUUGUGGAUGGACUCGCGGCCUAUCAGCUUGUUGGUGGGGUAGUGGCCUACCAAGGCGGCGACGGGUAGCCGGCCUGAGAGGGUGACCGGCCACAGUGGGACUGAGAGACGGCCCAGACUCCUACGGGAGGCAGCAGAGGGGAAUAUUGCACAAUGGGCGCAAGCCUGAUGCAGCAACGCCGCGUGCGGGAUGACGGCCUUCGGGUUGUAAACCGCGUUCAGCAGGGAAGAAGCUUUUUGUGACGGUACCUGCAGAAGAAGCACCGGCUAACUACGUG